GCCCGCUUGGCUAAGUGGUAUAGCGUGUCACUAGUAAACAAGGGAUUCGUCAAGAUUCUCGUGAACUACCUAGAUGCCAUGACAAGAUCAGCGGUUCGAUUCCGCUAGUGGGCA